UUAAAUUGAAGAGUUUGAUCAUGGCUCAGAUUGAACGCUGGCGGCAGGCCUAACACAUGCAAGUCGAACGGUAACAGGAAGAAGCUUGCUUCUUUGCUGACGAGUGGCGGACGGGUGAGUAAUGUCUGGGAAACUGCCUGAUGGAGGGGGAUAACUACUGGAAACGGUAGCUAAUACCGCAUAACGUCGCAAGACCAAAGAGGGGGACCUUCGGGCCUCUUGCCAUCGGAUGUGCCCAGAUGGGAUUAGCUAGUAGGUGGGGUAACGGCUCACCUAGGCGACGAUCCCUAGCUGGUCUGAGAGGAUGACCAGCCACACUGGAACUGAGACACGGUCCAGACUCCUACGGGAGGCAGCAGUGGGGAAUAUUGGCACAAUGGGCGCAAGCCUGAUGCAGCCAUGCCGCGUGUAUGAAGAA
rnacentral:rRNA from 1 species